AAAUCGAAACAUAAUAUUUCGAGCUAACCAGACGGCUAGGCGACGUGUAUUAUAGCGGGAUGGAAGGAUUUUACGAACAACACUAUUUUACAUUAUUAUUAGACAUUAUGAUAUUAUUAUUAGGGUUUUUCCAUUACGUUAUUGACGACUCGUUGGUGACUAUUACGACUAAAUAUAAUAUAUAAAUAUAUAAUGGUUCAGCGGAGUCGCCCGACCGGUCGCUGACCGUAGACGCUCGAAUUCAACACUCGUUCCAGUGUUCCAGACUUUCAGUGUUUCACAUUUUUGUAUGAUCAUCACCAAUCACGUUAAUUAUAAUAUUUUUUGCGUAGAGCACACUCAGUACUCAGUAGUCCAGACAGUCCAAUAGUGUGUUCAAUCUUCAGACACCAGUGUUGUACCUACUGUUGUGUUAAAUAGUGCACUUAAAUAUAAUGAUAUUAUGAUGUCUACGAAGCAAAUACCGAAGUAACGUAAAGUAAGUUGAAAUAAUAAAAAAAGAAAGACCGCCAAAGAAGUUCAUAAUCUGAUUAUAGUAAUUUUGAAAGUAUACCUACUAUUUUUAUAUCUAAAAAAUUAGGUAGGUAUUCAUUUAUUUUAAUUAGAUUAGAUUGUAGUUAAUCAGGUAACACUCAUCUCCAAAAAAUUUAAAAAAAUAUGUCCCAAUAACAUUUAUUGAAUUGCUGGUGAAGAGUUCGGAUGAUGAAUUGGAUUAUAAACUAGCAUCUGUUACACCACCAGUACAAAUUGCAGCUAGUUCCUCAGUAUCAUCAUUCAUACUUAAUGAAGACAUACACAAGUAUAAUAUGAAAUAUCAUUAUAUCAAUUGGAACAUUUCUAUUUGAUGAGUGAUGACUUGUAUGACUUGGAAGAAUUGUCUUUACACAACAACGGAUUAGUAUUAAUAGAAUGCUACAAUGUAUUGGUGCAUUAUACAAUGAACCGUAAUGCAUAAAAGGUCAUAAAAUGAAAUUAACACGCGAAGAAGCAUCCCUUGACAAGUUAAAUGCAGAGAAAAACAAAAUAAAAAAAAAUUAUAAGUUUAGAGCUAAAUUUGAUCUGCCGACUGCUGAGCGUACAUUUGUUAUAUUACGUACUUGUAAGAUGGAGACAACACUUUUAAGAACUGAUGAGUCCUUCAGAAGUAAAAAAGAUGAGGAUUACCAUAAAGACUCCAACAAUUUGCCUUUGAUUUCAUCAAUGUGUCAUUCAGAGUCUUAAGCUAGUACUUACCAUUAUUUUUAUCUUAAACUUUUAAUUUUCAUUAUAUAAUUUCAACUUUUUGUAUUAAUUGUAUUUAUUUAUAUGUAUUUGACUAAUUCAUUUAUUGUGUUCUCUUUAUUUUAUAAUGACCUAAUGUAUUAUACUAUUUAGGUACCUAUAC